rnacentral:lncRNA from 1 species
CCCACACCUUUGUCCUCUGUCUCCCAUUGACUAAAAACACUCCCAAAUCACACUAGCUAGCCAUACAAAACCACUGGCAACAUCAAAUUUUAGGCACGAUUCAAGUAACCAAAUUCAAAUAACCGAGAUCAGAUAAUGAAAUGUGUUUAUACCAUAUUUAAGGCCUCGUAUUUAGAUCUUGUACAAAUACUCGGGGGACUUAAAUGUAAUUAUGUGAUAAAGGAAAUGGCAAAUAUGUAAUAAGUGAGGAGUCCUUAUUCUAUAAAAGGACCCCUCACCCUUACAAUUAGGAAAAGCCAUUUCAGAGGCCAAUUCCUAGGCCCUCUCACCCCCUCUCAAAGCUCUCACUCUUAGAGCUCUCUCUCCCUCAGAUAAAUACAUAAUCAGUGUGGACGUAGCCCAAACCUUGGGGUGAACCACGAUACAUCUUGUGUUAUUUACUUUCAUGCAGAUUCACGGUCGGAUUUACGUUGUUCCAAGACCUCCGGUUUUGUGCAUCAACAUUUGGCGCCGUCUGUGAGAAUCGAUACGAAAAGUUGUGUCGGUUCUCUUUCAAUUUUUCACCUCCACCGUGAACCUGCAGAAACCUAACACCCACACUCAGAGACACCACCAUCUCUCUCUGGCUAGGCAAUUAUCCGCACAAGUUUCACCCCUCCCACCAGCUCCUUUCAUGCAAGAAAACCCGACUGCCAACACGUGGAAUUGAUGGCUAGGCAAACGCGAAAGACGGGAUUGAUCAGAUUCUAAAACUCUCUUUUUCAUCCUCCCCUUGAAACGUGCAGGCUUUCUUGGUGACUGGUCUCACCCCCAAUCCAAAAAAAAAAAGUGGCGGAGGAGCCCAUCAGGAUUCAAAGCCGGGCCCAAGCCGGUCUGACCCAAGUCCCGCCCCAAUACAUUCAACCCCCCUAGUAUGGUCCCAACAGACCAUCAUCCUCAACCAACAUUCCAUCAUCGACCUAUUCAGAUUUGACCCGACCCACCGCGACUCAGUUCAGGCCUCAAUCGGACAAACCUGCAGAGACUGGGACGCCUUCCACGUUACCAAUCACGGCUUACCCGUCGCCUUACUCGAUGCCAUUAAAGCGCGCCGGCCUCACCUUCUUCAAUGAUAGCUCAGUCGAAGACAAGCUGAACUAUGCGUGCGAUCCAAGCUCGUCGACGUUAGAGAAGCACGGCAGCCGGAUGUUGGAGAAGGAUGACACCGUUUUGGACUGGAAAGACUACUUCGACUGCCGCCGGUAAGAAUUCCAACCAGCUUCCGACAGCUGGAGGUUCAGGAUGACGGAGGUUCAGAGCGAUCUGGGAUAUUCUACUCUCUCUUCCAAAUGGCUCUCCAGAACUCCAACUCCUCAAGCAAUUCCACCUCUGCCUCCGAUUCUGUAAUUUCGAACAAGGAGCGGAGGUUCGCACUGUACGAUCAGAUGGGUCAAGAUUUGGCUAAGCAUAGACCGAUUUUUCUUAAACAUAGCAGCCCGACCUCCCAAUCUCUGUCACUUUCUGAUAUUUUUACUAUCAGGGAUGGAUCUGUAAAACCUGUACUUAAGGCAGCAAAUCCUCCUGUUCGUGCUAAUGUGUUGUAUUUGAGCACACAGUACUCGCUUCAGCUGGGCCAGAAUUAGACUGAAUGGAGCCUUCUGCCUAUCUUUCUAAAUAAUUCAAAAAUGUUGCAGUCCCACGGUGUUGAGAGAGUUUAUGAUGCUUUCCAUCUCUUGCAGACUGAAUCUUUUAUGCAGAGAAUGGUGAUGGCAUUGUCCUCUGAUAUAGCGGUUUGGGAUGUUGUGAUGAACAAUGAGGUGGUGCGCAAGCUCGGCGAGCCUUUCUAUGCAGGCUUAGCUAGCAUCCACAGCCACACCCUCACCUUCUCCACCGUCAUUUUUGAAAAAGAAAAAAGGAAGAAAUGAGUAUAAAGGAGCAGCAACAGAAUAAUAAAAGCAGAAAGGGAGCGGACCAAAAUUAUUUGACAAAAAAAAAAAAAAAAAAAAAAAGCAAAAUAGAGUACGUGGAGAUUCGAUGGGAGAGUAUAGAAAGCGAAAACAUUGCCGAUCAUACAGCUCUGGUUGAGGGCUGUCAAAUUAUUCCGCAAUCACCGUGUAGGCUAUUUUCCCACCAUCAGAUAUCUAAUGGCAGCUUGGUGUCAGCACAUCGUGUGUUGAUCUCUUGGCCUCAGUGGCCUCUUAUCCUAAUCCGGACGACAAGAUCAAAACAACCAGCUUCAAGGUUCAAGCAGGUGGGAAAACAGGCAAUGCUUUAACAUGUGUAGCUCGUCUGCGAUUACGUCUGAGGCUGAUUUCCAAGGUUGCAGAUGAUACACAAGGCAGGGCUAUACUGCAGGAGCUACAAGCCGACAGCAUAGAUACUUCUUUUGUUGCGGCAUGGACAGGAGCAUCAUCUGUUCCUAGUGCUCUUGCUUCGAUGCUUUUACGUCCACACUGCGAUUGCAAAAGAUCAAAUUCGCAAUUGAUAGAGAGUCCGGCUCCCUAUGAUGGUGGUCCCCAACGACUGCUUUAUCUUUUGUCAUGAGCUUUUAUUUAUGUCAUGAGCUUUUAUUUAUGUCAGGAUCAUCCACUAUCCCACUACAAAAGAAAAAGCCCACGGGAUAGCAUGUAAAAGAUAGAGACUGGUGCAAGGUUCCCACUACACUGCACCACGGGAUAACAUGCUUUAUGUUUUUGUAUGAUGUAAUUUAUUUUUCGUAUGUUUCAGAGACAUUUGUAUAAAUCUUAUCAAAGGGUAAUAUGUAUAAACCUCAUCAGAGGGUAAAAAAAAAAAAAAAAAAAAAAAAAAGCCCAAAAUAAUGGGCUGACAUGUUGUGGAGAGCAAAUGCCCAUAAGCCCAAAAUAGCACAAACCAGAUCAUCAAAAACACGCACAGUACUCCCUAAUUAUUCGGCAACCCGCCGCUAUUACCACCAACCAGGUGAUGAGAUGUACAACCCAUACUCUAAUUUGGCAACUAGCCAUUCAUGCCACCAACCAGGUGAUUAAAAGUACGCCCAGUACUACAAAUUAUACAUGAGCAUUACUCAUGUCAUUCAUACAUAAACAUUCAUGAGCAUCACUCAUGACAAUCAUACAUAAACAUUCAUGAUCAUCAUUCAUGUCAACAUUCAUGAGCAUCACUCAUGACAACAUUCAUGAGCAUCACUCAUGACAACAUCCAUGAGCAUCACUCAUGUCAAUCAACAUAAACAUUCACGAGCAUCACUCAUGUCAAUCAGCUUCAAAAGCUUCAUUUACAGAGCUCUAGCUUCAAAAGCUUCAUUUACAGAGCUAUAGCUUCAAAAGCUUCAUUUACAAAAGCUCUAGCUUCAAAAGCUUUAUUUACAGAGCUCUACUUCAAAAGCUUCAUUUACAAAAGCUCCAGCUUCAAAAGCUUCAUUUACAGAGCUCUAACUUCAAAGCUUCACUUGCAAAGCUUCACUUACAAAGCUUCAGUACAGGGUAUACAAAUACCGCAUCCGAACAACCGCCACUUCGGCCCAUACAUGGAUUCAAUUUGAAGUCUCCAGCCAACAGACUCUAUUGACCGAAGACUUGGGGGACUACAUUAUGUACCAUAUAUUGGGCCUCAACUGGGCCUUAUGAAAAUACUUGAGGGACUUAGCCCAUUAUCUAUGUACUGAGGAGCGAGCCUUUAUUCUAUAAAAUGGACUCCCUCACUUUCAUUAGAGAGCACUCAUGAAAAAUACUUGGGGGACUUAGCCCAUCACUCAUGUAUUGAGGAGCGAACCCUUAUUUUAUAAAAGGGACUCAUUCACCUUCGUUAGAGAGCAUCGCCACCCGCUGAGCAACUGCCUCGCCGCGAGCAUCACUCAUAACCCAUUAUUCAUGUAUUAAGGAGCGAACCCUUAUUUUAUAAAAGGGACUCCUUCACCACCAUUAGAGAGCAUCGCCACCUACUGAGCAACCGUCUCGCCGCGAGCAUCAACUCUAGCCCAUCAUUCAUGUAUUGAGGAGCGAGCCCUUAUUUUAUAAAAGGGACUCCCUCACCUUCAACACCACAAGCCGAGCCAACCAAGGCAACAUAAGCCACGAGUCGAGCAGCCUCGCAGCAUGUGUUACUUCUAGUGGAGCAUCAUUUCAGAUUGAGCACUGCCUCAUAUCGAACAUCAGUUCAAGACAACAUCUAAUUACUUCGGCCCACACAUGGACUGAAUUUCAAGUCUCCAGCCAAAAGACUCUCUUGACUGAAGACUUGGGGGACUACUGUUUAUACCAUAUUUAGGGCCUCGUAUUUAGAUCUUGUACAAAUACUCGGGGGACUUAAAUGUAAUUAUGUGAUAAAGGAAAUGGCAAAUAUGUAAUAAGUGAUGAGUCCUUAUUCUAUAAAAGGACCAAUCACCCUCACAAUUAGGAAAAGCCAUUUCAGAGGCCAAUUCCUAGGCCCUCUCACCCCCUCUCAAAGCUCUCACUCUUAGAGCUCUCUCUCCCUCAGAUAAAUACAUAAUCAGUGUGGACAUAGCCCAAACCUUGGGGUGAACCACGAUACAUCUUGUGUUAUUUACUUUCAUGCAGAUUCACGGUCGGAUUUACGUUGUUCCAAGACCUCCGGUUUUGUG